rnacentral:rRNA from 1 species
GAUGAACGCUGGCGGCGUGCCUAAUACAUGCAAGUCGAGCGAACGGACGAGAAGCUUGCUUCUCUGAUGUUAGCGGCGGACGGGUGAGUAACACGUGGAUAACCUACCUAUAAGACUGGGAUAACUUCGGGAAACCGGAGCUAAUACCGGAUAAUAUUUUGAACCGCAUGGUUCAAAAGUGAAAGACGGUCUUACUGUCACUUAUAGAUGGAUCCGCGCUGCAUUAGCUAGUUGGUAAGGUAACGGCUUACCAAGGCAACGAUGCAUAGCCGACCUGAGAGGGUGAUCGGCCACACUGGAACUGAGACACGGUCCAGACUCCUACGGGAGGCAGCAGUAGGGAAUCUUCCGCAAUGGGCGAAAGCCUGACGGAGCAACGCCGCGUGAGUGAUGAAGGUCUUCGGAUCGUAAAACUCUGUUAUUAGGGAAGAACAUAUGUGUAAGUAACUGUGCACAUCUUGACGGUACCUAAUCAGAAAGCCACGGCUGACUACGUGCCAGCAGCCGCGGUAAUACGUAGGUGGCAAGCGUUAUCCGGAAUUAUUGGGCGUAAAGCGCGCGUAGGCGGUUUUUUAAGUCUGAUGUGAAAGCCCACGGCUCAACCGUGGAGGGUCAUUGGAAACUGGAAAACUUGAGUGCAGAAGAGGAAAGUGGAAUUCCAUGUGUAGCGGUGAAAUGCGCAGAGAUAUGGAGGAACACCAGUGGCGAAGGCGACUUUCUGGUCUGUAACUGACGCUGAUGUGCGAAAGCGUGGGGAUCAAACAGGAUUAGAUACCCUGGUAGUCCACGCCGUAAACGAUGAGUGCUAAGUGUUAGGGGGUUUCCGCCCCUUAGUGCUGCAGCUAACGCAUUAAGCACUCCGCCUGGGGAGUACGACCGCAAGGUUGAAACUCAAAGGAAUUGACGGGGACCCGCACAAGCGGUGGAGCAUGUGGUUUAAUUCGAAGCAACGCGAAGAACCUUACCAAAUCUUGACAUCCUUUGACAACUCUAGAGAUAGAGCCUUCCCCUUCGGGGGACAAAGUGACAGGUGGUGCAUGGUUGUCGUCAGCUCGUGUCGUGAGAUGUUGGGUUAAGUCCCGCAACGAGCGCAACCCUUAAGCUUAGUUGCCAUCAUUAAGUUGGGCACUCUAAGUUGACUGCCGGUGACAAACCGGAGGAAGGUGGGGAUGACGUCAAAUCAUCAUGCCCCUUAUGAUUUGGGCUACACACGUGCUACAAUGGACAAUACAAAGGGCAGCGAAACCGCGAGGUCAAGCAAAUCCCAUAAAGUUGUUCUCAGUUCGGAUUGUAGUCUGCAACUCGACUACAUGAAGCUGGAAUCGCUAGUAAUCGUAGAUCAGCAUGCUACGGUGAAUACGUUCCCGGGUCU